rnacentral:pre_miRNA from 1 species
UAUGUACUCCCUCCGUCCGGAAAUACUUGUCAUUGGAAUGAAUGUAUCUAGAUGUAUUUUAAUUCUAGAUACAUCCAUUUUCAUCCAUUUAUGCGACAAGUAUUUCUGGACGGGGGGAGUACAUG